CCCUUUGGUGAACUUAAUUAGUGGUGAUUUAUUUGUGAAUAUUAUUUGUUUAUUUGCUCUUCGAAGUUGUUGAAGGGUUUACGUAACACUUAGUAGCGGAUAAUCGUGGAGUUAAUACAAAAAUGUCCCUUAAUACUGUGACCGAUGCUGGGAGAACAGGCCAGCCUGUUCUUAUAGUGAGGGACAACGGCCGAAGCCCCGCUUUAAGAGAGGACACUGAGUCGGUCAGACAGUAUCUAUGGAGAGAGAUAUAGACUUUUCUUCCGUUUUGAGACUCCAGCAGGCACUGACAGACAUGCUGAGUGUUUUAUUUGUGCCAGCAGUCUCUGUUUCAGAUUUUCUGCACCUGCAGUAUUUUACUUUGUUUUAAACGCGAUGAGGAGGUGUCGGUGUUGGACUGGGGUGGAUAAAGAUAUACAAAAGGGAAGAAAUAAUAUACUGAAAGAGGAUAUAAUAAAUGGAGAUCAUCUUGGUCUCCUCACAGGAGAGAACGUUUGAAGAACUUGACUUGUGGCUGCAUGAAGAAGGAAAUAGCCAAUAUGGAAGAAGCACAUUGACUGAAUCAAACCAAUAUUUAGGACAUGCUUGUCAUAAAGAUUCAAUCCAAAUAUUAUGAAUAUAACUAGUAGCAAAAACACAUCAAUAAACUCAUAUUUUAACAUUUGAAACUUAUAAUCAUUGAAAUUUUAAGGUAACAGUGAACAUUUGUUAUUAAUGAGAGUGAAACUUGUUUUUAAACUCAGUUGUGAAGCUUUGGAAUUCCCUUCCUUAAACAGGAGUGGAUGCAGAAACUUUAAAUAUUUUAAAGAUAGAGGUAGAUAGAUUCUUCAUUACUAAGGAUGAAAGUGUAACUGUGAUUUGUAGGUCUUUGGAAAGGAGGUUAAAAUCAGAUCAGUCAUUAUAUUAGUGAAUGGUGGAGCAGGCUCAAAAAGCCAAGUGGCACAUUCUUGUUUCUUCUGUAUCUGUUUGUACAUAAAAUGCUGGGGUUGUUUUUACUUUGAAAAAUUUUGAUACCCUUAUUCACAGAGAGAUGUCAUUUCAUUGGAGACAGUUCAGAGAAGAUUCACUGGGAUGAUCCCCAAUAUGCACACUAUCAGCAUUCUGCAGAGACCAUUCCCUCUACGACUCCCUCGUUAGGUCCAUGGCCCCCACCAACCCACCCACCACUCCCGGCAGCUUCCUUUGUCGGCCACAAGAGGUGUCAAACCUGCACCCACACCUAACCCCUCACCUCCAUCUAAGGCCCCAAAGGAUCCUUCCACAUCCAGCAGAGA